GACUGCCACUUUAUGAAAAGAGGAAUCACUCAUCAGACUCUGUAGAGAGAGGUUCUCCUGGUUAAUAAAUGAGGACAGGAAAGAAAAAGAAAAGACAAAGAAAUGGAAACACUGCCCACCACAGUCAUUAUUCUGGAGGAGAUUCUUCAAACCCCUGUUUUGUGAUGGUAGGGGGAACGCUUCGUAUGUGAAAGAGUGGAGCACACAAUUUAAAAGAAGGGUAGCAAUGGAGGGAAAAGAAAUUUCUGAAAUGAUCACGGAAAUAACAUGCAUUCAAGGAACAACAAAGGAGAAAAACAAUGGAAGUGGGUGUGCAUAUUUUACUGCAGCCCGAGGAUUUCAGUAGCUGAUGCAUUCACAGAAAGUCUCUUACAGUCUUAUGUCUUUUACUACAAUGCAAAUUUAUUCUGCCUGAGUAACAACUACCACAAUACUGUCAUUCCCCAAUUACGUUGAUAUAGUCAGUCACAUGCUGCUGAAAU